CUCUCCUUUACUUCACUACAUCGCUCUCUCUAUCCAUCUGUUGCUGCUUUCACCGACGACGACAAGGCCUGCCGUUUUCCCAGCAAAGACAGCACCUUUACCCGCAGCCUUCCAUCCCUUUCAGAUCGCCGUCGUCGAGCUCGCGCCCUUCUCUUGCGAUUCUUGCGCUGUACUGCCUUUGUCAAUCUCAGAUUCUUGCGCUUUUCUGGUUCUUGCAUUUAAUUUCUACUAGAAGAUGGCAUCGCGAUUCUGGGGACAGGGUGGCAGCGACUCUGAGGAGGAAGAGAGUGAAUUUGAAGAAGAUAUUGAUAAUGGGGAAGAAGGCGAGUCUACCACUCAAGCCCCACAAAACAGGUAUCUCAGAGGAACUGCUAGUGACAGCGAUGACUCGGAUGAUCAAAAGCGUGUUGUCAGGUCAGCCAAAGACAAACGAUUUGAGGAGAUGUCGGCUACUGUUGAUCAAAUGAAGAAUGCAAUGAAGAUCAAUGAUUGGGUCAGUUUGCAAGAGAGCUUCGACAAAAUCAAUAAACAGCUUGAGAAAGUCAUGCGGUUGACAGAAUCUGACAAGGUCCCUAAUCUUUACAUCAAAGCUCUUGUGAUGUUGGAGGAUUUCUUGAAUCAGGCUUUGGCAAAUAAGGAAGCAAAGAAGAAGAUGAGCAGUAGUAAUGCUAAGGCCUUGAACUCAAUGAAACAAAAACUGAAGAAGAACAAUAAGCAGUAUGAGGAUUUGAUUAAUAAGUAUAGGGAGAAUCCGGAGAGUGAGGAGGAACUAGAGGGAGAUGAGGAGACAGAAGAAGAGGAAGAUUCGGAUUUGGAGUUUGUGGAGGACCCUUCAAAAAUUGCUGUGUCUGAUGAGGAUGAAGAAGAAGAUGAGGAUCGCCAAGAUAAUAGAACUGAGAUUGAAGGUGAUUGGCAGAAGA
rnacentral:misc_RNA from 1 species